rnacentral:misc_RNA from 1 species
AUUAUCAGCAUCUUUAAACAACAACAUAGUAAUUGAAUUGCUUAAUGUAAAGUAUUGCGGAAAAGUAUCUAUAUUUUGCCUAGAGUACUUAGAAUUGAAGGUUGAUUAUUUGAAAUAGUUGUAAGUUUAAUUCAAUCUAAAUGCUCCUCGGUUUUAACUUUCGGGUCUUGUGACAUAAACUUUCGUCUUAGUCAUGCCUUUGAAAUGGUAUAACAUUUAAUCACUCCAGUGAACACGGCACUGUGUCUCUCUUUGGAUUUCUUCAGUGACUCAGUACUUCCAGUGGUUUAAUCAAUAUCAAACUGGACGUAUCUUGUAAUUUAUUUUAUCUAUUUGCAAUUCACUACUUUUGCAUCAAUAGUAAUCACUGCUCGUGUUUUCAUCGUCAUUUAUAAAUGAAUUUACGCCGUGAAAUUCUCGUCUUCACUUUGAUAUUGACCAUCUUUGCUUUGAUACAGCUCGCACAAUCCAAUUUGUGUCACUGCAGUCACUGCGAUGAUGAUACUAAACUUCUGGAUACCAAAGAAAAUAAUUUAGCUGAGAAUGGUGAUGAUAAUAAUAACGAUAGAAAUGAAACCGACGGUAUGGACGAUGAAGAUGAAACGACCAUGGACUAUCAAUUACUACUAAAAGAAGAUUUCGAUGGCGAUGGAAUUCUCACUAUUUGCGCUCGAGAUCGUGACCAUGAGGAUCGAUCUUUCCCAAGUAUUUGCCAUAUGUUGUGUCACAAUGCUUGCACUGAAUUUAACAGUAAAGAAAAUAAAGAAAAUAAUGGAACGUACGACGUGAUGGCGUACAGAACAAAUUAUUAUAAACUUUACGAUGGUCCCUGUCGUAGACAUUACACGUGAUCAACAAUACUCUAAAAAAAUAUAUCGACUUGGAAACUGCUGAAGUUUUUGAAAUUUUAUUAAAAAUUUAU